GAUGAAGAACGCAGUGAAAUGCGAUAAUUAAUGUGAAUUGCAGAAUUCAGUGAAUCAUCGAGUCUUUGAACGCACAUUGCGCCCCCUGGUAUUCCGGGGGGCAUGCCUGUCCGAGCGUCAUUGCUGCCCUCAAGCACGGCUUGUGUGUUGGGCUUCCGUCCCUGGCAACGGGGACGGGCCCAAAAGGCAGUGGCGGCACCAUGUCUGGUCCUCGAGCGUAUGGGGCUUUGUCACCCGCUCCCGUAGGUCCAGCUGGCAGCUAGCCUCGCAACCAAUCUUUUUAACCAGGUUGACCUCGGAUCAGGUAGGGAUACCCGCUGAACUUAAGCAUACAAUAAGCGGAGGA
rnacentral:misc_RNA from 1 species